rnacentral:rRNA from 1 species
AGCUCCAAUAGCGUAUAUUAAAGUUGUUGCAGUUAAAAAGCUCGUAGUUGGAUUUGUGGGGGGAGCGAGCGUCCCGACGCUCAGCGUGGGUGAGGUUCGUCUCCGUCCAUCCUUGGGUGGAAUCCGCGUGGCAUUGAGUUGUCGUGCGGGGGAUGCCCAUCUUUUACUGUGAAAAAAUUAGAGUGUUCAAAGCAGGCUUACGCCGUUGAAUAUAUUAGCAUGGAAUAAUGAGAUAGGACCUGGGUACUAUUUUGUUGGUUUGCGCACCGAGGUAAUGAUUAAUAGGGACAGUUGGGGGUAUUCGUAUUCCAUUGUCAGAGGUGAAAUUCUUGGAUUUCUGGAAGACGAACGACUGCGAAAGCAUUUACCAAGGAUGUUUUCAUUAAUCAAGAACGAAAGU